rnacentral:rRNA from 1 species
GUGCUCCUACGGGGCGCAGCAGUGAGGAAUAUUGGUCAAUGGGCGGGAGCCUGAACCAGCCAAGUCGCGUGAGGGAAGACGGUCCUAUGGAUUGUAACCCUCUUUAGGGGGGGAGCAAUGCCGGGCACGCGUGCCCGGAGGGAGAGUACCCGCAGAAUAAGCAUAGGCUAACUCCGUGCCAGCAGCCGCGGUAAUACGGAGGAUGCGAGCGUUAUCCGGUUUUAUUGGGUUUAAAGGGUGCGUAGGCGGAAUUUUAGGUCAGCGGUAAAGUGUCCGG